GCCGGUGUAGCUCAGUGGUAGAGCAAUCGCUUUGUAAGCGAAAGGUCGCGGGUUCAAAUCCCAUCACCGGCUCCA
rnacentral:tRNA from 1 species